rnacentral:rRNA from 1 species
AAAUGAACGUGGGCGGCGUGGAUUAGGCAUGCAAGUCGAGCGAGAACCCCGCAAGGGGGGACAGCGGCAAACGGGGUAGUAAGGCGUCGGAACGUGCCCAGAGGACGGGGAUAGCGGCGGGAAACUGCCGGUAAUACCCGAUGAUCUCGAAGAGAGCAAAGGUGUGAUUCCGCCUUUGGAGCGGCCGACGUGGUAUUAGCUAGUUGGUGAGGUAACGGCCCACCAAGGCUGUGAUGCCUAGGGGAUGUGAGAGCAUGAUCCCCACCAUUGGGACUGAGACACUGCCCAGACACCUACGGGUGGCUGCAGUCGAGAAUCUUCGUCAAUGGGCGAAAGCCUGAACGAGCGACGCCGCGUGCGGGAUGAAGGCCCUUGGGUAGUAAACCGCUGUCGAGGGGGAUGAACGCUUGAAGGUACUCCUUCAAGUUUGACAGAGCCCUGGAGGAAGCACGGGCUAAGUUCGUGCCAGCAGCCGCGGUAAUACGAACUGUGCGAACGUUAUUCGGAAUCACUGGGCUUACAGGGUGCGUAGGCGGCCGUNCAGGUCAGGUGUGAAAGCCCUCGGCUCAACAGAGGAACUGC